UGUGACCAUACAAAGAAAGCUUUACAUCAGCGCGCCGUGGCCACUGGUGGAACCGACUGUUUCUUUGACGAAAGCUAACCGCGUACAAAAUGGCGCAAAAUGUCACGAAUUUAUCAUGCAUCAAGUUAUAUUUUCUUUAGUAUAAUAAUUACAUUCGUUUAGUUAAGCAACUUGUUUAUGAUAAUUGUAGAAAAGUGUAGAAAAAUGACACUUGCAUUAUAUCCUGGGAUGAAGAAACGUUAUUUUAUGUCGAUUUCUUUAGAUGACAAAGGAGGUAACCAAAUAGCAUAUCUUACAAAAUCUGAGGACAAUAAUAAGGAUCGUUUAUCAAGGUUAAAAUAAUUAUUUUACUAAAUUAAGACAUUAACAUAUCCAUGUGUUCGACAUAACCUCACUUCUUAAAUCUCUUAAAUUAGUCGGUUGAGAAGCGGAUCGAGAAUGAUUGUUUGAAUAUAAGUCGUACAAAAUUGGAAUGAAACGAUGAACAAUAUACAGAUCUUUAGACAGGCUCAAAUAAUGUAUGUUUAGGAGCAACUUGAAGAUAAUGGAGAUUUAUCUUCUUAAUAUAAAACCUCUAAAAUUGGGAACAGUAUGU